AGAUAGUAGAGGUGAGAAACAAUAUAUAUCAUGUUUUUGAUGUCCAUGUUUCAUGUAAAACCAAGUUGUUGUUUUGUAUUUGUAGUAUUGCACAUGACAGAGACCAAAAGUGGGAUACAAACCAUGUAAAAGGAUAAUCUUAAGUUGGACCAUACAGUGGAUAAUUCAGACCACACUCCACUCUGUAGGGAAUAGGGACGGCAAAUCAUGACGCCACGACAAGCUAUUAACGACCUAAGAAAGGUCCAGGCCAGUGUGUACAUGUUGGAAUCUCAUCUCCAAGUUGUCAAAAUCUUUUGCCUUUUCUUUUGGUUGUCUAAGAUAUUUAUUAUUGCCUCUAGCUUCUUUCCUUUUCUUUUUCUAUUCAUCCUAGGCUUCACAAAGGCUUCACAACCAUGUCUUCCUAGUUCUGUUAAAAUAUAGUUCUUGAUGGUAACCGUUAAUUUGUUGAAGUUUUAAAGAACAACAAAACUUUCACACUGUUGAAUAAAACAAAGCACAAUUUCUAUGAUUUAGAUUAGUUUGUGCAUGUAUAUUGAUGUUCUCUUUUAUCUGGUUAUUCACCAAAAGAGAUGACAAAUGUAUUGUUUUUCACAUACCCAAACAAAAAUUAAUGUGAAACUUUUAAACAAAAUAUCUUAAACCAUAAGGACAUAAUACAAAAUCCUAAGACAAAGUUUGUUGCAUAUCCAUAUUAUAUUUCAUACUAUUUAAACUCUGCACAUUGAUCCUAGUUUGUUCACUUGUGACCCAUUUGAUCAAUGUGUAUUAUGCAGGUAAUCAUUCAGAGUUUUCUUUGCUACAUUAUUGGUCUCUAUGUUCAUCCCAAUAUGGGCUAAUAUGUACCACUUGGGGUCAAAUUAAGGGUUCAGAUUAUCCAUUGUUGGUGUUUAAAUUGUGGCUAUUUAUAAGUGGGAAUUUUGCUACCCCUCCAUGUGGAUUGGAAGCAACAACUUUAUGCUGAAGGGGAAGUUUCAACUGAUUCUCCCAUUGGUUCAUAUGCCAAGGCUAAGUCAUCUAUGGACUUUUAUAUUUCUGUGCUGCACCAAGGGGAUAGAGUACCAUAUUUUGAAGUGUUUAUUUUAAGAUUGAAUCAAAGACAUUCAACUUCAAUUGCUGUUUUAAUAAUUUUUUGCACUGCCGAAGAAAGAUUGAGAUAUUUUUU